rfam:Nicotiana attenuata strain TT chromosome 11, whole genome shotgun sequence.
UAGACAGAUUAUUGUAUUCGACUGUAUUCACAGCGUGAAAUAGGGGAAUACACUGUUUUUAAAACGAAAGUGAAACAAUUAACAUAAUAGACUCCU